UACGUAGGGUGCGAGCGUUAAUCGGAAUUACUGGGCGUAAAGCGUGCGUAGGCGGUUCGUUAAGUUCGUUGUGAAAGCCCCGGGCUCAACCUGGGAAUGGCAAUGGAAACUGGCGGGCUGGAGUAUGGCAGAGGGGGUGGAAUUCCGCGUGUAGCAGUGAAAUGCGUAGAGAUGCGGAGGAACACCGAUGGCGAAGGCAGCCCCCUGGGCCAAUACUGACGCUCAGGCACGAAAGCGUGGGAGCAAACAGG
rnacentral:rRNA from 1 species